GAUGAACGCUGGCGGCGUGCCUAAUACAUGCAAGUCGAGCGCGAGCGUAAGGAGCUUGCUCCUUACAAUCGAGCGGCGGACGGGUGAGUAACACGUGGGCAACCUACCCUUUAGACUGGGAUAACUACCGGAAACGGUAGCUAAUACCGGAUAAGUUGGAUUACAUAAGUAAUCUUAAUGAAAGGCGGAUUUAUCUGUCACUAAAGGAUGGGCCUGCGGUGCAUUAGCUAGUUGGUGAGGUAGUGGCUCACCAAGGCAACGAUGCAUAGCCGACCUGAGAGGGUGAUCGGCCACACUGGGACUGAGAAACGGCCCAGACUCCUACGGGAGGCAGCAGUAGGGAAUCUUCCGCAAUGGACGCAAGUCUGACGGAGCAACGCCGCGUGAGUGAAGAAGGGUUUCGGCUCGUAAAACUCUGUUGUUAAGGAAGAACACUUUAGGUAGUAACUGGCCUAGAGAUGACGGUACUUAACCAGAAAGCCACGGCUAACUACGUGCCAGCAGCCGCCGUAA
rnacentral:rRNA from 1 species